rnacentral:tRNA from 1 species
GCCGAAAUAGCUCAGUUGGGAGAGCGUUAGACAAUGGAUAGAAAAGUCCCUGGUUCGAUCUCGGAUUCCGGCA